UACAGAGGUGGCAAGCGUUGUUCGGAAUUACUGGGCGUAAAGGGCGCGUAGGCGGCCUUCUAAGUCAGACGUGAAAUCCCCCGGCUUAACCUGGGAACUGCGUCUGAUACUGGGAGGCUAGAGUGCGGGAGAGGGAUGCGGAAUUCCAGGUGUAGCGGUGAAAUGCGUAGAUAUCUGGAGGAACACCGGUGGCGAAGGCGGCAUCCUGGACCGACACUGACGCUGAGGCGCGAAAGCUAGGGUAGCAAAUGGG
rnacentral:rRNA from 1 species